rnacentral:tRNA from 1 species
UAAAUGACUUCCAAUUAUUUGAUCUUAGUUUAACCCUAAGAAAAGACA